GCUAGGCCUAAAAGGGACAUGCCUGGGAGGUGAGAGCUUUCUCACCAGCGUGGCCUUUCCAGUGUAGCCUGAUCACAAGCAGCAACAGAGUACACAAGGAACGAGUGUAUCACUCUUUACACACCAGCUACAAUCAGAGCCCUUGUCACUGAGAACAGGAAGUGGGUUAGGAUCCGUUAGCCCCCAAAACAAAACAAGAGCCAGGUUUUGUGGUGUAGCCCUGGACUGCCAGGAGGCAGAGGCGGAUAUGUUGCUCUGAGUUUGAGACCAAUGUAGGCUAACAAGUUCCAGGCCACAGGGGAAAGGCAUUUAGAUUCCGAUUGUAGCUACAUUGAUGAUUUCUCCCUUUCAAAAACAACUCCAAAAUACUAACCCAGGGCUUUGUACACUCCAGGCAAGCACUAUGCCACUCAACCACAUGCCCAACCCCUUUGGUUUAUAACAAAAAUAAGAGCCAGGCAUGGUAGUGCAUGCCUAAAAUCCCAACACUGGGAAAACUCAAGCAGGAGGAUUGUCCUAAGUGUGAGGCCGGCCUAGGCGACAUGCAGAAUGUGGCCCAAGCCUGCCUCCCAGCCAAGCAUGGUGGGUUUCACAUGACUCCGAUCCCAUCGCCUGGGAAGCUGAGCGGGAGCACCGGGAGCUCAAGACCAUCCUCGGGUACAAGGCUCUGGGUCAGCCUGGGCCCCCUGAGACCCUCUCUCAAAACACUGGACCAAAGAAGAGCCACCACCCCAUGCUGGGCACUGUGUAACUCGGACGGCAUUCAUAACGUUCUGGAUGUUGGGAAGGCUAAGAAGAGCCUUUUUGUUGGUGGUGAAGGGGUUCUGAGCCUAGUGUUUCCAGGCUCUUGACCUCUUAUCCAGAGAAUUGAAAAUAAGGAUUGUGCAUAAAUAGCAGUCUCACUUUAUUUAGGAUGAAGUAGAGUGCAGAUUAUAGACAGAUACACAGUCAAGACUGACAACAGGGCACCAAAGUGAGGCUAUAGCCAGAGUCCUUGAGGUUCCAUGAAGGACGAGCAGAGUGGUUGCUUGAUUUUGAUUGACAGAUUUUAAAUCAUAUUCACUGAAGGGACUCUAGCCAGUCCGAGCAUGGCAAGCAUGGCUCUGCCAGGCUUUGCCCUUCUCCCCAAUUCCCUCUUCUGUGCUUUAAAAAAAAAAUGGUUAGAUUACAUCCUUAAAGCUAGCUGCCAAGGUCUAUUUCCUUAUUUGGCCUCUUCCUCCUGAGGCUGACUACCAAGGUCCAGUUAUCAAAGAGCUGAAGUCCAGCAACCAAAAGCUCCCUUUGGCUGCCCUAAUUAGCAUGCCCAAUAAAAAUUAAACACCUCAUCCUAACAUGGGGUUUCCCAUCUUAUCUCUAUAAACUGCCAUUUGCCUAUAGGCCAUGCCUGCCUCUUCUCUAUCCAGAGGCAGUCCUUUGUCACCAUCCAUCCCCAGAAAAAAUACCCCUUCUUCUCUCUCUGUGCCCUUUCUCUUCUCUCCCUUGUUUCCUUUUCCUUCUCCUCCUUUAUCUCCUUUCUUUGUCCGUAUCCCUGCCCUUUGUCCCUCUGGGGCAAGUUAAUCUUUGUGCUGAGAACUUGGUUUUGGGAUAUCCUGAGCCUACUCCAAGGUUCCCUACAUUCUCUUUUCUACUACGUUUGUCCCUUCCCAUAGUGCAUCUGAUUUUAGUCAUGCAUACCCAUAGUGCAUCUGGUUUAAAUCAUUUGCAUAGUCAUUUGUGCAUACGUAUCAGGUAGUAAGUUGGGGAUUCUCCCUGUAAGUUCACUUGAGGGAUAGUGUGUCCUAGUGCAUUGCACACUCACAACAAGUUCAUGAUGGAUUGGGUCUUCUAUUCCUCAUAAGGAUGCAUUGGGAAUAUGCUUGAAUAGAAAAAUGCCCAAGUCAGAUUAUUACCAGGGGCCAAGAAAUGUAUAUUUUAUUCUGAGAUGGGAGUAAAGCCCAAGGCCCUUGGGGGUUGGGUAGUUUCUGAGGUUGCUAGAUGCAUUAUUUGGAGGGGUGUAUGCACAGUCCAGGGAAGGGAGGAUCUGUACUGCCAAGUGCUUUAUGCCGAGGAUGCAUGUGAGUAUAAUCCACACCACAAAGUCCUAGGCUAGACUACCUGUUUGCCUUGAUCACUAUUUCUAAUCCAAAGGUAUCUUCCACUUCACUGGUACCACGAGUUGUCCUCUGACCUCCACAUGCUAUGUGUGGCAUACACUCACACACCGAGACUCAAAAAUAUACUUUAAAAAGGAAAAGAUUAAAACUGUUCUGGUGAGGCUGGGCCUGCUGGUGCACUCCUGUAAUCUCAGCAUUCCUGAGACCGAGGCGGGAAGAUCUUGUUUGAGGAUAGCCAGGGCUACAUGAGACUCUGUCUCAAAAUAAAAUGAUAAAAUACAGAAACUAGUACUUACUGCAGAAUCUGAUACAGGCUGAUUUUGGAGGCCAGAGGCCGUGUUGCUGAGGUGAGGUCCAUAGCACUUGAGUGGCUGCACAGGCUCCUCUUGUGUCUCCCCAGGAUACCAAGAGCCACCUGCUCUCCAAGGGUGUCUACCCCUGUCAUCUUUUCUUGUUGAUGAUGGUUUUGAGAUACAGCUUCGUAUAACCCAGGGGGCCUCAAGUUUAUUAUGUAGUCAAGAAUGACCUGAGCCUUUGAUUCUCCUGCCUCCCAAGUGCUGGGGUUACAGGGACGUGGCACCACCUUAACCUUGAGUGGGAGAGAAUUGUUCACUAAGUAGGCUAGCUGGCCAAUCGAGACCCUGGGAUCCUCCAGUUCCCACUUCCUCUGUCACCCCACCUAGCUUUUAUGUAGGUAUUGGGGAUUGAACUCCAAUUCUCAUGCUUGCUCAGCAAGUAUUUCCUGAUGAACAAUUUCCACAGUCGCCUUCAUCUGGUUUUCUAGGCAGAGAAAAGCUUGCCAUGGGCUGGAGAGAUGGCUCAGGGUUAAGAACACUGACUGCUCUUCCAGAGGUCCUGAGUUCAAUUCCCAGCAACCACAUGGUGACUCACAACCAUCUACAGUAGGGUCUGAUGCCCUCUGCUUGUGUGUCUGAAGAGAGCAAUGGUGAAUACAUUACAUACAUAAAUC
rnacentral:lncRNA from 1 species